UAGCCUAGUGGUUAAGGCUAUGGAUCGCCAAUCCGGAGACGACGGGUUUGAUUCCCGU
rnacentral:tRNA from 1 species